UCAGAACAGGAAAGUCCUUCUAUUGCUGACAGCAAAAGGACAACUAACUCAUUUUGGGCUCAUCUUCUGUAUUCAGUAUUGUCCAUUGGAAAAUAAUUUACAACCUGGCACAGAAUAGAACAAUUGCCCAAAAUCUUCACUUUUCUACCAAACAAACAAUGAAGGGCUUCAGUGUUGCAGUUACAGUGGUGGUGGUUGUAGUAUGCAUCUGCAUCCAUGAAAGCACAGCUGAGGAGGGACCUUUUUACGAUCAGCGUGUGGAACUGGAAGAAGACGGCAGCGGAUUCAUGGAUGAGCACGUGGAUCCGAGAAUCCAGCGUUCAAGCAAAAGUUGCUCUUGGUGCUGGAACUGCUGCCACAAAAAGGGGUGGACUUACUGUUGCAAUAAAUGAGUACAUCACCAGGACCAAAACCAUCCUAUUGAAUCAAUGCCACUUUCCACUCUUUCCUAUGUAGCUAUGAUAAUGAUUUGUUCAAUCCCCAUUAACAAUGCUUUUUCUGCAAUUCAUUCUGCAAUUCAAUAAAUUCUUUGAAUAACAAA